UACCCCCUGGCAAUGGACAAAGAGACACCUUUUUGGUGGAGUUUUCUUUAUAGAAGGGGCAGAGCAGACAGCAGUCCUUUGUUCAUCCUAGCUUGAUGACUGGCUUGGUGGCCAAAGCUAUUUUAUGCCCAGGACAAAUCA